rnacentral:rRNA from 1 species
AGCAGCCGCGGUAAUUCCAGCUCCAAUAGCGUAUAUUAAAGUUGUUGCAGUUAAAAAGCUCGUAGUUGAAUUUCGAGAUCGGCUUACUGGUCGUGCUUUUGUACGUACUGGUAAAUCGGUUUCUCCUUUCUGACGAACUUUAAUGCCAUUAACUUGGUGUUUUAGGGAAUCAGGACUGUUACUUUGAAAAAAUUAGAGUGUUUAAAGCAGGCUCACGCUUGAAUACAUUAGCAUGGAAUAACGGAAUAGGACGUUUGAUUCUAUUUUGUUGGUUUCUAGGAUCGACGUAAUGAUUAAUAGGGAUAGUUGGGGGCAUUAGUAUUCAAUUGUCAGAGGUGAAAUUCUUGGAUUUAUUGAAGACUAACUACUGCGAAAGCAUUUGCCAAGGAUGUUUUC